GGCCGGGCGCGGUGGCUCACGCCUGGAAUCCCAGCACUUUGGGAGGCCGAGGAGGGCGGAUCACGAGCACCAACCGUGUGCCGAGAGCUAACUGUGUCAAGAAGAGCAUGCUUCAGUUGGCUGGCGUGAGCAAUUCGACUUGUGGAGGAGUGAGAAAUGUUAGGGUUGAGACAAGAAACAUAAAACCCCAGGGUAAGGACAGCAAGGCCGAGGAGAAUGGCUCCGACAGCUUCAUGCACUCCAUGGACCCACAGCUGGAGCGGCAAAUGGAAACCACCCAGAACCUGGUGGACUCCUACAUGGCCAUUGUCAACAAGACCGUGCGGGACCUCAUGACCAAGGAGUUCGUCUUCUCAGAGCUGCUGUCCAACCUGUACUCACGGGGGGACCAGAACACGCUGAUGGAGGAGUCGGCAGAGCAGGCACAGCGGCGAGACGAGAUGCUGCGCAAGCACCACAUGCUGAAAGAGGCUCAGCAUCAUCCGCGACAUCAACACGACCACCGUCAGCACAGCUACGGGGGCCCGUGGACGACUCCUAGCUUCAGAGGUCGCCUCUGCUAUUCAGCCAAGGGGACCCCAGUGCCUGCUGGCCCGGCUGAGCUCCACUCAGCAAGCCCGCCCACCUCCCUUGCCAUGGACUCUCCCUCUUUGGCUUUUCCCAGCAGGAAGGGCCCAGCCUCACCUAUGUGACCUGCAACCCCCAACAAGCUGAGGCUCCCCUCUUAGACUUAUAAGUCUAUAGCCAGUGGCAUCCGGCUGCCUGUCCUCCCUAUCUCCCCCAGGGUCCCUUCAGAGGGUCCUGGGCUUUCUGACUGCCCAGAGGGGCUCCAGCGAUCACUCCAGCCAUCCAUCCCUUUUACCUUCAUCAUCCUGGUUCAAGUGGUGUUCCUUCUCUAUCAGGCCUGGUGGAUGUUGCGCUGGGUUCCCAAAAGCAAGAGGUGGCCCGGGGCCAGUGAGUUUGAAGACAGGGUGACCAGAGAAGAGGGAAACCGGAAGGGGCUGAGCAUUGCUCUGAACGGUGUCACCACGCAGCAUACAGUUAACAGGCCUGGAAAGUCCCCAACAGCCCAGCUGGACAUGCUCAGACACUCCGGGGCUCCUCGUUCAGUGGCACAAACACCAGGACCCAGUGAGGGAAACGGGAACACACCAGUCUGAGCAGUAUGGCUAAAUCCAUUUAUUCCAAAAUAAAAAGCAAAAUAAACAGGAGUCGCAUCACCAGGAGCCAUGACCCCAUCCCCGCCUCCUUUCUCUGUCCUAUGCUAGCAAUAAAUAAGUUUCCCAGCCACAAAUAAUUAUUAGACCCUCCUCCCCAUGUGCCAGCUCCAACCUCCACUAGGUACGAUACAGGGGUGGCCGUACCCUCUGGAAUAUACAAAACAUUACACAGACACAAUAUGUACACUGGGGAAGGGGGCCACCGCAGCAGCCCGUGCCCUCACCUGGUCCACAGUUAGCCCCACUGUCCCACCUCAGCUACCUCUCUGAAUAAGAACAUGGGAGCCCCCCUGAGGGAAAAGUUACUAUGGUGAGAGUAAGGAGGCCAUCAGACCUCCUCCAAACAAACCACCUCUGCCAGCCUCUGGCUCUUAAAUAACAAUCAUCAUCAUCCAGAAAUGUAAGGACUCAGCCCUGGUCAAGGCGGCAAAGGGUCUGUUUAUCUUUCCCCAUUAAACAGAGGUCUUGUGUGUCUACCCUAAUUGUAAAGGGGGGCCUGGGAAGGGGUGGUAGGCUCAUGGUGGCAGUGGAGACUCCAGCCCUACUUCUCCAGGCUUUGCUGACAGAGGCCUGCUUUUAAUUUUUAUUUUUAUCCCAAGACUUUUUUAAAAAUCCCAUAACUUCUUUUUCGUAACUUUUUUUGUAACUUUUCACAAAAUUUUUUUCUACUUUUUUGCCACAACUUUUUUACAUUUUUUAUCCCAUAACUUUUUCACUCCAUAACAUUUUUUAAUCCCGAACUUUUUUAUUUUGUGUUCUUUUAACAAACACUUGCAUGGCUAUAUUACAAUUUUGUAAAAAUGAAACAGAUUAUCUCAUGCCAAGCAUGCCCAGCAUUCUCACAGUAUCAACACCUUUAAUACUAUAGUUUUUCAAGACACGCAAAAUAAAAUUUUAAGGCAAAAACAGCACUUUGCAACCAUUUAAUAAUUUAUUACGUUACAGUAGCAUCACACUGGCAGUCAAUAAUGCCACUUUAGGCAAAAGUUUUUCAGUAUUUCCAUUAUACAUUCUGUUUACAAGAAUUCAUAAAUUGGUCAAAUUCAUUCUAAGAAAACUUGGCAAAUAAAGCUUUGGACUGGAA